AAAAAAAUUAAAUGGCUGCAGUAUAUUGACUGUACAAAGGUAGCAUAAUCAUUAGUCAUUUAAUUGGUGACUUGUAUGAAGGAUUGGAUGAGAUAUAAACUGUCUUUUAUUUAAUUAUAAAAUUUAAUUUUUUUAUUAAAAAGUUAAAAUAAGUUAAAAAGACGAGAAGACCCUAUAGAGUUUUAUAAAUAAUUAAGUUAAGAUUAUAUUUAAAGUUUAAGUUUAAAAUUUAAAUAUUUAUUUUGUUGGGGUGAUAGAAAAAUAUAAAAAACUUUUUUUACAUAAAAACAUUUAUAAGUGAUUAAAUGAUCCAAUUUUAUUGAUUAUAAGAAAAAAUUACCUUAGGGAUAACAGCGUAAUUUUUUUUUUUAGUUCAAAUAAGAAAAAGAGUUUGCGACCUCGAUGUUGGAUUAAGAUAAAAUUUAAAUGUAGAAG
rnacentral:rRNA from 1 species